GACGAACGCUGGCGGCGUGCUUAACACAUGCAAGUCGAGCGGUAAGGCUCCUUCGGGAGUACACGAGCGGCGCACGGGGGAGUAACACGUGAGUAAUCUGCCCUUCACUUCGGGAUAACCACCGGAAACGGUGGCUAAUACCGAAUACGACCAGUCUUCGCAUGAGGUGCGGGUGGAAAGUCUUUUCGGUGAAGGAUGUGCUCGCGGCCUAUCAGCUUGUUGGUGGGGUAAUGGCCUACCAAGGCUUCGACGGGUAGCCGGCCUGAGAGGGUGACCGGCCACACUGGGACUGAGACACGGCCCAGACUCCUACGGGAGGCAGCAGUGGGGAAUGUUGGACAAUGGGCGAAAGCCUGCUCCAGCAACGCCGCGUGAGGGAUGACGGCCUUCGGGUUGUAAACCUCUUUCAGUACCGACGAAGCGCCCUGUCGGGUGGUGACGGUAGGUACAGAAGAAGGACCGGCCAACUACGUG
rnacentral:rRNA from 1 species